rnacentral:rRNA from 1 species
GAUGAACGCUGGCGGCAGGCCUAACACAUGCAAGUCGAGCGAGGACUUCGGUCCUAGCGGCGGACGGGUGAGUAACGCGUGGGAACGUGCCCCUUGGUACGGAAUAGCCCCGGGAAACUGGGAGUAAUACCGUAUGAGCUCUACGGAGGAAAGAUUUAUCGCCAAGGGAUCGGCCCGCGUUGGAUUAGGUAGUUGGUGGGGUGAUGGCCUACCAAGCCGACGAUCCAUAGCUGGUUUGAGAGGAUGAUCAGCCACACUGGGACUGAGACACGGCCCAGACUCCUACGGGAGGCAGCAGUGGGGAAUCUUAGACAAUGGGGGAAACCCUGAUCUAGCCAUGCCGCGUGAUCGAUGAAGGCCUUAGGGUUGUAAAGAUCUUUCAGUGGGGAAGAUAAUGACUGUACCCACAGAAGAAGCCCCGGCUAACUCCGUGCCAGCCGCCGCCGUAACAC